AGCCUAGCGCUAAGGCUUGAUGUGGUUACUGUAAAAGGUGAUCAAUUUAAACAGCAUCAAGCGGUGCAGCGUUACAAACUUUGGUGUUUAGUGGUGCCAAUGUAGUUUAUGGUUGGGCAACUAACUAUAUGCUACUUUCGGCCUAGCGUACAAGUCCCAUUGACUUGGGCUUAUUCUUAAUUGAGAUGUCUACGGGUUUGGGGCAACUUGGAUCCGUGGGUGAGCCAUAGAGGGUGAAAGUCCCUUAAUGCGCAGGUAUUGGUACCACGAACCAGAGCAGUGGCGUUUGGUAAAACAAGCGUUGCGAUUUGUUAGAGUCGGGUUGCUUGAGAGUGCAACCUAAAGAGCGAGGUAAACUGCUCGUAAGGCUAUGUGAAAUACGGCUACGACACCGAUAGCAAACAAGUACCGUGAGGGAAAGUUGCAAAGUACUUUGAAGAGAGAGUUAAAUAGGGCGUGAAACCGCUAGCUGGUAAACGAGUGGAGCCACGAAGUCGUUUCGUAGAAUAUGAGGCGCAGAUUCAGCUAGGGUGUACGGUUUUUAACGAACCACGCUCUAGCAUAUUUCUGCUUGUCUCACUACUUGUAAGCGUACACUGCAACCAAUUAGACGGUCAAUCGUGGAAAUAGUUUGCAAUGCAACAGGGUAACUUGUUGCUUGUAAACGAUAAUAUUUGUGUAUCUACUGUAGGUAGCUCGAUUAGGGUCUUGUACCCUAUAUGGGGUGUCUGACAUAUUGGUAGAUGCGUGAACUACGAUUGAGUACUGAUUGGCAAAAUGAAAAUCGAAUCGCAAGAUUCGUUUACUCAUAGAAAGCGGCUAGCAUCGUAUUUGGGUACAAUUGUACGUCGCUAGUGUAAGCUUAGUAUUUUUGAAUUCAGGCACGUAUAUUGUCAGUGGGCUUGCUCGUUGAUAUAUGCGGUGUUUCCUGUCUAAUCGGGUAUUAACUUUACUGGCGAUUUGAUGCAAUUGCUACGAUAGCACUGAAUGCGAUAGUUAGUUUGCCAGAAUUGGCAGUGAGUAGGUCGGCUUUCCACACGACCCGUCUUGAAACACGGACCAAGGAGUCUAGUUAAGUAUCGAGUCGAUCGGUCUUGAUUAGGCCAGACACUGUAGGAUGCGCAAGCAUUGCUAUAGAUAACCAACAAAUGACGGCAUAGUGAAAUCAAAUCAUAUGUGAUCUGACGUCUAUAAAAAUGGCGUACAGCGCAACAUAUGCCCACUCGUAUGGUUAUACGCGCAAGUGUUAACCGGGUGGAGCAAAGAGAUACUUGACUGGUACCCGAAAGAUGGUGAACUAUUCCUGGCCAGAUUGAAGCCAGAGGAAACUCUGGUGGAGGAUUGUAGCGAUUCUGACGUGCAAAUCGAUCGUCAGAGCUGGGUAUAGGGGCGAAAGACUAAUCGAACCAUCUAGUAGCUGGUUCCCUCCGAAGUUUCCCUCAGGAUAGCAAGCUCUCGCAUAAAUGUGAAUCAGUUUCAUCUGGUAAAGCGAAUGAUUAGAGGCCUUGGGAGCGAAACGCUCUCAACCUAUUCUCAAACUUUAAAUGGGUGAGAUGUACGACGUACUUAACUGACGCCGUAUACUGAACAGAAUGUAUUGAGAGCUUAGUGGGCCAUUUUUGGUAAGCAGAACUGGCGAUGCGGGAUGAACCGAAAGUGAAGUUAAGGUUGCCGAUAAUGGUGUUAACAAUUGUGCACUAGCUACACUCAUGAGAUCCCAUGAAAGGUGUAAGUUGCUAAAGACAGCAAGGACGUGGCCAUGGAAGUCGGAAACAUCUAAGGAGUGUGUAACACUCACUUGCCGAAGCAACUUGCCCUGAAAAUGGAAAGCAGCUCGAGUGUUGAACCUAUACUUCACCGUUGAAUUAUCGUUCGUUAAAAAACGAUUUGCUAUGAUUCAACGUGUAGGAGGGUUGUGUUGGUAGCGUUGAAGGCUAUGAGGGAGUGAUCCUGGCUGGAGCUGCCAAUAGUACAGAUCUUGGUGGUAGUAGCAAAUACUCAAGUGAGACCCUUGAGGGCCAAUGUGGAGAAGGGUUCCAUGCUAACAGCAAUUGGACAUGGGUCAGUCGGUCCUAAGAGAAUGGCGAAAGCUAUUUCUGAAUCAAAGGCGGUGUAAACAAAACUGUAAAAUUUACUCUUAUUGGAGGAUGUUUUUUUACGUUUUUUGUGUUCCUCUUUAUGUGAAAUAUAAUAUCACACAAACAUUAUACAUGUGUAUAACUAUAUAUGUAAUAAAAUAUGUCUGAUAAAGAAACAUGGAGAGCUAAGCAAAAAAACACAUAAACAUCACUACAACUCUGAUAUAGUGUUAAAUGAACACCGCAUGACUCGAAAGGGAAUUAGGUUAAUAUUCCUAAACCAAGAUGGGGAGAUUGCUAUUUGUGCGGUUAUUCACUUAGCCGUGCAACUAGCAUUGGCGGUAACGCAAACAAGCACGAUGACGUCGGCGGCAGCCCUGGGAAGAGUUGUCUUUUCUUUGUAAGCUUACUGAGUUUUUAAC
rnacentral:rRNA from 1 species